rnacentral:rRNA from 1 species
CCUACGGGGGGCUGCAGUGGGGAAUUUUGGACAAUGGGCGCAAGCCUGAUCCAGCCAUUCCGCGUGAGUGAAGAAGGCCUUCGGGUUGUAAAGCUCUUUCGCAAGGGAAGAAAACUUAUCCUCUAACAUAGGAUGAGGUUGACGGUACCUUGAUAAGAAGCACCGGCUAACUACGUGCCAGCAGCCGCGGUAAUACGUAGGGUGCGAGCGUUACGCGGAAUUAGCGCGGGUAAUGCUUGCGGACGCUGGUGAAAUCCCCGAGCUCAACUUGGGAACUGCGUUUGAAACUACAAGACUAGAAUAGGUCAGAGGGGGGUAGAAUUCCACGUGUAGCAGUGAAAUGCGUAGAGAUGUGGAGGAAUAUCAAUGGCGAAGGCAGCCCCCUGGGAUCAUAUUGACGCUCAUGCACGAAAGCGUGGGGAGCAAACAGGAUUAGAUACCCUUGUAGUC